rnacentral:rRNA from 1 species
AGCGGCGGAUGGGUGAGUAACACGUGGGGAACCUGCCCCUAAGUCUGGGAUACCAUUUGGAAACAGGUGCUAAUACCGGAUAAUAAAGCAGAUCGCAUGAUCAGCUUUUGAAAGGCGGCGUAAGCUGUCGCUAAGGGAUGGCCCCGCGGUGCAUUAGCUAGUUGGUAAGGUAACGGCUUACCAAGGCGACGAUGCAUAGCCGAGUUGAGAGACUGAUCGGCCACAUUGGGACUGAGACACGGCCCAAACUCCUACGGGAGGCAGCAGUAGGGAAUCUUCCACAAUGGACGCAAGUCUGAUGGAGCAACGCCGCAUGAGUGAAGAAGGUUUUCGGAUCGUAAAGCUCUGUUGUUGGUGAAGAAGGAUAGAGGUAGUAACUGGCCUUUAUUUGACGGUAAUCAACCAGAAAGUCACGGCUAACUACGUGCCAGCAGCCGCGGUAAUACGUAGGUGGCAAGCGUUGUCCGGAUUUAUUGGGCGUUAAGCGAGCGCAGGCGGAAAAAUAAGUCUAAUGUGAAAGCCCUCGGCUUAACCGAGGAACUGCAUCGGAAACUGUUUUUCUUGAGUGCAGAAGAGGAGAGUGGAACUCCAUGUGUAGCGGUGGAAUGCGUAGAUAUAUGGAAGAACACCAGUGGCGAAGGCGGCUCUCUGGUCUGCAACUGACGCUGAGGCUCGAAAGCAUGGGUAGCGAACAGGAUUAGAUACCCUGGUAGUCCAUGCCGUAAACGAUGAGUGCUAAGUGU